GAUGAACGCUGGCGGCGUGCCUAAUACAUGCAAGUCGAGCGAACGGACGAGAAGCUUGCUUUUCUGAUGUUAGCGGCGGACGGGUGAGUAACACGUGGAUAACCUACCUAUAAGACUGGGAUAACUUCGGGAAACCGGAGCUAAUACCGGAUAAUAUUUUGAACCGCAUGGUUCAAAAGUGAAAGACGGUCUUGCUGUCACUUAUAGAUGGAUCCGCGCUGCAUUAGCUAGUUGGUAAGGUAACGGCUUACCAAGGCAACGAUGCAUAGCCGACCUGAGAGGGUGAUCGGCCACACUGGAACUGAGACACGGUCCAGACUCCUACGGGAGGCAGCAGUAGGGAAUCUUCCGCAAUGGGCGAAAGCCUGACGGAGCAACGCCGCGUGAGUGAUGAAGGUCUUCGGAUCGUAAAACUCUGUUAGUAGGGAAGAACAGAUGUGUAAGUAACUGUGCACAUCUUGACGGUACCUAAUCAGAAAGCCACGGCUAACUACGUG
rnacentral:rRNA from 1 species